UUGAACGCUGGCGGCAUGCUUUACACAUGCAAGUCGAACGGCAGCGCGGGCUUCGGCCUGGCGGCGAGUGGCGAACGGGUGAGUAAUGCAUCGGAACGUGCCCAGUAGUGGGGGAUAGCCCGGCGAAAGCCGGAUUAAUACCGCAUACGACCUGAGGGUGAAAGCGGGGGACCGAAAGGCCUCGCGCGAUUGGAGCGGCCGAUGUCGGAUUAGCUAGUUGGUGGGGUAAAGGCUUACCAAGGCGACGAUCCGUAGCUGGUCUGAGAGGACGACCAGCCACACUGGGACUGAGACACGGCCCAGACUCCUACGGGAGGCAGCAGUGGGGAAUUUUGGACAAUGGGGGCAACCCUGAUCCAGCCAUGCCGCGUGCGGGAAGAAGGCCUUCGGGUUGUAAACCGCUUUUGUUCGGGAAGAAAUCCUCUGGGCUAAUACCCCGGGGGGAUGACGGUACCGGAAGAAUAAGCACCGGCUAACUACGUG
rnacentral:rRNA from 1 species